rnacentral:rRNA from 1 species
GAUGAACGCUGGCGGCGUGCUUAAUACAUGCAAGUCGAACGGAGUUUAGAUGAAACCUAGUGAUUCUAAACUUAGUGGCGGACGGGUGAGUAACGCGUGGGUAACCUGCCCUGUACAGGGGGAUAACGGUUGGAAACUACCGCUAAAACCGCAUAACAUCGGAAUACCGCAUGAUGUUCCGGUCAAAUAUUUAUAGGUACAGGAUGGGCCCGCGUCUGAUUAGCUAGUUGGUGAGGUAACGGCCCACCAAGGCGACAAUUGGUAGCCGAUCUGAGAGGAUGACCGGCCACAUUGGGACUGAGACACGGCCCAAACUCC